rnacentral:sRNA from 1 species
GCCCAGUGCAGUGGCGCACACCUGUAAUCCCAGCAGCUUGGGAGGCUGAUGCAGGGGGAUCACAAGUUCAAAGCCAGCUUCAGCCAACGUGAGGCUCUAAGCUUUGUCAGUGAGACCCUGUCUCUA